rnacentral:rRNA from 1 species
CCUACGGGUGGCAGCAGUGAGGAAUAUUGGUCAAUGGGCGGAAGCCUGAACCAGCCAAGUCGCGUGAGGGAAUAAGGCCCUACGGGUCGUAAACCUCUUUUGCCGGGGAGCAAGGGCGGGGACGUGUCCCGUCCCGGAGAGUACCCGGAGAAAAAGCAUCGGCUAACUCCGUGCCAGCAGCCGCGGUAAUACGGAGGAUGCGAGCGUUAUCCGUAUUUAUUUGGUUUAAAUGGUGCGUAGGCGGGCUUUUAAGUCAGCGGUAAAAAUUCGGGGCUCAACCCCGUCCGGCCGUUGAAACUGGGGGCCUUGAGUGGGCGAGAAGAAGGCGGAAUGCGUGGUGUAGCGGUGAAAUGCAUAGAUAGCACGCAGAACCCCGAUUGCGAAGGCAGCCUUCCGGCGCCCUACUGACGCUGAGGCACGAAAGUGCGGGGAUCGAACAGGAUUAGAUACCCUGGUAGUC